UACAGAGGGUGCAAGCGUUGUUCGGAAUUACUGGGCGUAAAGCGCGUGUAGGUGGCGAUGUAAGUCGGGUGUGAAAUCCCCGGGCUCAACCUGGGAAUUGCAUUCGAUACUGGAUAGUUAGAGUUCGGCAGAGGGAAGCGGAAUUUCUGGUGUAGCGGUGAAAUGCGUAGAUAUCAGAAGGAACAUCAGUGGCGAAAGCGGCUUCCUGGACCAGAACUGACGAUCAGGCACGAAAGCGUGGGGAGCAAACAGG
rnacentral:rRNA from 1 species